UAUGCACCUACACACAUGUGUAUAUACAUGCACAUAUGCAGAUAUGCACACGUAUAUGCACACAUGUGCACAUGCGUACACAUGCAAACAUGCAUGCACACAUGUACACACACCACACAGACAUGCACUCACACGUACAGACACACCCAAGCAUGCGCAUACACACGUGCACAUAUAUGCACACAUGCACAUAUGCACACAUGCAAAUGCAAACAUGCAUGCACACAUGUACACACACCACACAGACACAGACAUGCACUCACAUACACAUGCACACACACAAACAUGGACAUACACGUGCACACACACGCACACACACGCAGUCACACACGUACACAUGCAUGCAGGCACACAGACACGCACAUACACCACACUGCACAAACAUGCACACACAGACACAAACACAUGCGCACACACGUGCACAUGCACUCACACCACACACAGACAUGCACACACAGGCAUGCACACACACGUACACAGAGACACACAUUCACAAACACAUAAAUGCUUGUGUGUGGAGACAACUUUCUGCAUUCAUUGAGCGUGAGUUUUGUUCAUGAAAAUCCACUGGCCCCCUUUGCUCUUUGAAUGGGUCUUUUACCUAUGCAUGAUUUUGAGGAAUCACACGCUGGUCAUGUGGAGAAUUAUUCGGAAGCUGUCACACUCACAAUGCGAGAAACAAGUUUUCAAAAAUUCCUCUUGUCAUUUGAAAGCUCAACAUUGUAUCAUUGGUGCCAGAUACUCCCAGCUGUUUUCCUUACAGGGAUGGGCUUACUUGGUUGUUUUCAGGAAAACACCCAAGCCUGGGUAUGCAGGGCUGUUCGCUGUUUGUUCCAUGGAAACUGGUGUUGCAAGAAUAAAGGAGCUUGGUUCAGCUUGGCUGCCAGACGCCCACAUGGCACACACAAAGCACUGUGCGCAAACCUCCAGCUCCAUCACAAGGAACGUCACUGCCGAAUGCUGCUGGCGAUGGUGGCGAGAAGCCUCACGAGCUCAAAGCCACCUUGAUCUGGGCCCAGGCACCAGCAGGUGUCCCACCAUCAGCCCUCUGCCAUUGCCGCGAAUGUCAACACAGAGAAAAAGGCAAGGGGCCCGAGAUGACUGUGCUGGUCUUGGAGACCCCCCUGAAAACACCCAAAGGACCACACGUGAAGAACUGCUGUUCUGUGGAACAAAUGAUGCCAACGCUUCAACAAAUGCACAGCCCGAAGAGUCUGGGCAGAUAAACAAGGUGCCGGACACGGCCCUGCUGGGUCCUGUUUCAAACAGGCCAGACAUAAAUAGAUGUGUGGAGACCCCGGGAAAACUUCCAGGAGCACUUGGGGGCUGGAGGGAGGCACACGGGCCUGCGCCUGGGAGCCGUGCUCUGCCCACUCCACCCCAUGACCCUCGAAGGAAGCACCUCACGGGGCCCCCAGGGGUGCAGGGAGUCAGCCGCCCUGUUCCUGUGUGAGCGGGGCCUCUGGGGCACCGACCUGCACAGACCUGGUGGGGAGAGGCCACUCCAGCCUCUGGGCUGUCUUGGGUGAGGCCUGAAGUGGCUCUUCCCACAGUCUGAGCAAGGGCUCAGUCCCACCAGCAGCAACAUAGCCCAGGGCAUGGAAGCCCUUGAUGACGUACAUGGGGCUCGACUCCCACAAAGCCAACCCCAUUGUGGGGUCAGCACAGCUGCAGAGAGUACCCACGCCAGCCGCAGCCAUCCCCGAGGAGUGUGGUGCUGGGGACAGUAAGCCGGGUGUGUCAACCUGUGAGGGGCACCUGAGGCCAGCAUGAGGGCAGGCGAGGCGGCCGUGGCUCAUGGGUGCUAGGUCUGCAGGACUGUGCCCAGGUGUAGGCUCUGCCUCCCAGCCCCACGGCGAACACCCAUGGUGCCCCUGCCCUGUAGCAAGACCCUGACCCCCACACAUGUCCCCAGACACCUCCUGGGGCAACAGUGCUGCCAUGAGGACCUCUGAGAUGAAGGCACCGGCUCCACUGAGGCCUGUGUGGUUCCCGCCACCUGCCCCCACACCCUUCCUCCUCCACCCGCCCUGCGCUCUGGAGUGGCCCGGAGCCUGCCCCGUGGGCGCCCACAGAGUCAGGCACCAGCAGGAGAUGAAGGGGCGGAGGAAGGUGAGAGUGUCCUCAUCCCAGGCCUCCUCGUGAGGUCCCUGCGGCCUGGCUGAGCCCCUCCCAGGGACAGGCCCCUCCGUUGCUCCCCUGGAAGCUGCUUUCCUCGGACGUGGGAACAGCCCUGUCCCUGGGCCCUCAGGAAUGGGAUAGAACAGGGCCCAGGGUGGGAACCAACACCCUAAGUCUCUUCCCACAGAAGCCUAAGGACAGCAAUGGCUGAGGGAGGCGUCCUGAGGUGCUCCCGUGGCUGUGCUCCCAUGGCUGUGCUCCCCUCGCUGUGCAAGCAUCGCAGCGACUCACACGGCUGGAGGGCAGGGCCCACUGCCUGCCCAGGCUUCACGGUGUGGCCCUGGCUGCACACCUGUGCUGCAGGUGCCUGCGCCGAUCCCUGGAGGAGCUGUAGUAAGCAUUUGUGCAUGUAAACACAUCCAAGCUUGGAAAUGGCACAGUAAAAGCACAGCACCGCG
rnacentral:lncRNA from 1 species